GAUGAGUGGAAAGUGGGAGGAAGGAUGAAUUAGUACUUGCUUAUUAAAAAAAAUUUUUUUUUAAUAAACCCCAACUUGAAUUGGAGAAAAGUAGGGACUAAACUGUGGAAAAGCUUGACUUGUGAGACUCAGUAAGGCUCAGUAAUUUAGACUUAAUUCUAUGGGCAAAAUAAAAACUACUCUUAUUAUUACCUUUCUUUGAUGAAUAAAUAGGUAGUUCUAAAAGCACACAAGACUUUAGUAAAUAGAGAGGUUGUUACAUGCUAUAUGCAGAUGGCCACACCAACAGUAAGAAAAAUAGACAAUGAGAAUGUUCUUUUGUUCUUAGCAGUAAAUGACAAGUGAUUAGGCAAAUGCUUCUCCAUCCUUCUGAGCAAACAGCCUAGGGUAAGAAGCUAGCCCAUUGAGGACAGAAUUUGGUUCUGAUUUAGACAUUAUCACUACCUAGCACUAAAGAGAACAGGAUCAGGUCUUUUUCAUCAGGAUCUAUUUAGUCAAGGAAGAAACUAAUCCUCACUAUUAAUUCCUCCAACAGCAGUAGACAAAAGAUUUAGCCUCUGGCAUUGUAUUCCAUAAGGAAAGGGAAAAGAAACUUCUAAGAUCCAAACAUGAGGUUAUGUAAAAGACAAAGAUAGAGGUGAGGGGGGACAGGGAAUUCAAGGAAGAGUCCAGAAGAUGUCUACUUGUUCUCCAAUCUUAGAUGUGAAUGAAGACUAGCAAACCAACUUCUUGUUGCUUUUUCCCUGCAACUUCUACUAGUGACCCAUAGUAGAUCAACACAGUCUUUCUUUUAGCACACAAAAUUAUCAAUUUUCAUGAUGGAGUGACAAAAAUCCUAAGUAUGCUUAGCUCCAUUCCCAUCUCUGGAUUGGAAUGAGAUUCUGUGUUGGAGUUUUUUGUUUGUUUGUUUGAUUAAAGAACAAAUUCAUCUGAAUUCUUCAUCUCUAACAUUGCAGCUGCCUUUCUGCAAAUCUUUCUAACCAGUAGCUUUCAUAUGUUAACUAAAGACUGACCUUUUCAGUUUCUGGUAAGUGGUAGGGCUGUUGUGAAAGAAGGGAAAUCAAAUUUGUUAUUUGCCUUCGUGAGGAGAUAAGAGUCUGGCUGCUAGAAUAGCAAGUUUAUACCAUAAGUAUAUGUACACAUACACAAAGUUGCACACACAUUCCUCCACGAAUUACAAAGUACAAAACAAAUACCUAUAAAACUAAUGCAAUCAAUGGUCCUCACAUUUCAUAAUUUUAUAACAUAAAAGCCAAACUACAAUUGUGUGUUAGGCAGCCCAGCCUAAGGAGAUAUAAAAUUCAGCCCCCUCUCAUGGGAGCUGGGACAUAGACCCUCCCCUUGAGAGAGUCACUCAUGCAGUGAAUGGAUGGAAGAUGAAACAAACUUGGACAAAGCAGUUGCCUAAACAGCAUAAUUAGCUGAUGGCUCAGAAUGUUUUCUAAUUCAAUUACCCGACCCAUUUAUCAGGGCUGGGAAGCAUUCUGCUGUGGAGAUUUAAAUCUGCUCUUGCUGACGUCAAUGGAAGAUUGUCUGCCAGUCCCCGAAGUCUCCAGUUCAGCAGGCUCGAAUAGAUCUGAAUAAUACUUACAUGGAUGAUACGUGCAUUAAUUAAGGAUUAGUGUGAAGAUGAAAAUGAGACAAUGAAAAGCAUUUUGAAACUGUGGAGUCCUACACAAAUAAAAUAUUAUUAUCAUUAUUAUGAAUCUGUGAAGGAUACUGCUUAUUUUAAAACUCAAGUUCUAGCCUCAAUCUGCUAACUAGCCAAGCCUAAACUUCUUUCAGCCAAGGUCAAUGUACCCUAAAAUAGGGAAAUUCAAAUCUUACACUCUGUAGAUCCAGAAUAAAAGCAAAAAAGCAGGGGACCUGAGAAAGCUUGUUUCCUUCUCUACAGGAAGGUGGGAGGAAAGUAAUUGUUCAUAGAAUCAACAGUAUCGCAAUUUGCUUCAGUAAAUACAAGGAGACUCUAGAGUA